CGUAUCCACCUCUAGGAACCUCCUCUAACUGCAGGAGGGUGCUAAUCUUGGGACUCCCCUUCAGUCCAACAUUUGCAGUGUGACAUAACUUUGCAACCCCCCUGCCCACCCAUGAUGCCAUUUUGGGUCUGGACCCUCAUGUUACAACACCAUGAAAUUUCAAAUGUAAACAUCUGAAAUCAUGAAAUUGACUAAUUUUUAAACCCUCUGGCACUGAAAUUGAUCAGAAUGGACCAUGAAUUUGGUAGGGCCCCAGUCAUCUGUGUUCUGAGUAUUGUCCCCAAUAGAGGUUUAUCUACUGUCUGAGCCAAAUGCUAAUCAAGAGAUUGUGAAAAUGACAAGAAAAAGGCACACAAGAAAAGAACAAUCAACAGGGGGCCAUCCUGUUUACCAGUAAAGUCAAUGGAUUGGGGAUUGGAUUGGAUAACGGAGGAUAUAGAGAGACACCUGGGAUCUUUUCCACUGAGAAGGCAUGACCUCAGCUGAUGGCAUGACCUGUCUCAUUAACAAAAGAUCACAGCCAAGCCUGGCUGUAAUACACUGGAAGGAUUCUGGGCUUAUUCGGUGGAGGAGACAGCAUGCUUUUGGGUGGACUGGAGUCCAUCUGAACCUUGGCACACAAGAAUGUAAGAAAGAUGUGGAGACAAGGAUGGAGCCAGAGGACCUUCUGGAAGAAAAGCAGCAUCACAAUAACCCUGGAUAAAAUGGAUUAUCCUGAUGAAGUACUGAAGGAUACAUUAUGAGCAACUAUGAAGACUAAAAUUUAUGAAGAAACUUUUCUCAAAGACCUCAUAACUCAAAUAGUGAUGUAGCCACAAUAAGUUAUGAAGGUCUUUCCUAUAUGACAAGGGACAAGGAAUCUGCUGUAUCCUUCAAACAUAAUGCAUUAUACUUGCAUUUUAGAAUAUUUCGCUUUAACAACACCCAAAUGUAUCACUAAUGAUUUUCUCUACGGGCUUAAUAAUCUACACGUUCAUUUUUAUUAAUGGUGACCUUUAUAGUGUGUAAUUAAUUACAUUUUUAUAAAGUUUUCUUUUCUAGGCACGUCUCAGUAGUAAAAUGAGUGAGCAUGUUUCCCAUGCAACAGCAACACUAAACUACCUGAUCAAAGCCUUAAUACAGCAAUUGUUAAAUGAAUCAUGUUUAAAAGGCUUAGUGUAAGAACAUAUUAACUUUUUGCAAAGGACAAUUUUGUCAAAAGUUUUGAAUGGCUACGAUGUAAAAUAAAAUGUAUUGCUCUUCUAUUAAAAAAAGAAAAGAAAAAGAAAAAAAGGAAAAGGGGAAAUGUAGCACAGAAUAAUGUCAGAGUUUAGGUCAGAAUACAUUAACGAAUUGGUGGGUGAUUAGGUGGCU